GACGAACGCUGGCGGCGUGCCUAAUACAUGCAAGUAGAACGCUGAAGGAGGAGCUUGCUCUUCUGGAUGAGUUGCGAACGGGUGAGUAACGCGUAGGUAACCUGCCUGGUAGCGGGGGAUAACUAUUGGAAACGAUAGCUAAUACCGCAUAAGAGUAGAUGUUGCAUGACAUUUACUUAAAAGGUGCACUUGCAUCACUACCAGAUGGACCUGCGUUGUAUUAGCUAGUUGGUGGGGUAACGGCUUACCAAGGCGACGAUACAUAGCCGAACUGAGAGGGUGAUCGGCCACACUGGGACUGAGACACGGCCCAGACGCCUACGGGAGGCAGCAGUAGGGAAUCGUCGGCAAUGGACGGAAGUCUGACCGAGCAACGCCGCGUGAGUGAAGAAGGUUUUCGGAUCGUAAAGCUCUGUUGUAAGAGAAUAACGAGUGUGAGAGUGGAAAGUUCACACUGUGACGGUAUCUGACCAGAAAGGGACGGCUAACUACGUG
rnacentral:rRNA from 1 species